AAAAUAUUGAAUGAAAUCAACAUAAGCGGGCACGUUAAAGCUUUUAACGGUUAAAGAGACGAUCAGUUAAUAAAAAAUCUGAAAAUUUUUGUUUUCGAUAUAAUAUAUAAAUAAAAUAUAUAGGAUAUCACUCGAAGUAGAAUGCUCUAAAAAUGUAAGGAAAUAAAUCGGCCCGACUGUUACGGUCAAAUAUAACAGUAGAACAGCUAAAGUCACGAAUUAGAGCUUCAUUUAUCAGCACUAGAGCAUUAAGUAAAAACGUUGAUGAUUAAGGGAAAAAUAUAAAUAAAUGAUAAAAUAAUGGCAGACCAAAAUACACAUUAUAUUUUGUCAAAAAGGUGUAAUUCUUUGUAUAUCAUAAUCCCGAUUCUUGCAAUAAUCAUACCUGAGGGCCACGAUACUUCCCUUGUUAAGCAACCCGACUUGGAUCGGUGGGAGCCAAUGGUAUCAGUAGCCAUCCACGUAUGCCAAGAAAUAGUCAACAUAUCGCAGCAAUCAUUACUUUACGCAAUCAACCUCAAGCCGGACGUUUUCGGAAUGCACUUCAUUCAGAAGUUGCACGAAGCGUCGGUACAGACUAUUUUAAUAUCUCAUCCUAGCGAAAUGAACAAGGUGGUGAUCAGUGAUCAUAGAAAAAACAUGAUCUUCAUUAUUGAGGACAUUUAUGAAUUACUAAAUUUCAUAUUCCACACAAUUACAAAGAAAAAUUCUUUGGGAUCUCACCAGAAUUUAGUAUCGAGACCAAAGGACAAUGAAAAUCAGUCGAUGGAAGAUUUACCUCAGUACUGCAUCAAAGUUGACGAACGUCUCCUACUGGUCAACGAGGAGAAGAUUUGCGAUGAACAAGUCAACAUGACAAGUGAAGAUCUUAAAGCCGGAUCAGUUCUAUCAGAUCAUGUGUUCAAUAAGACACGCGGUUUUUAUGGUAGCAACAUUUGGAAUGCUAAAAACUACCUUGUCUUUGUUUUGAAGAACAUUGCCCCAAUUUCUCCCAGCCAAAGGCACAGAGCCGGACUGCCGUGUCAAAAAUGGACGAAUAAGACCAUCAAUAAUCAUUCCCAUGUGGAUUUGAUCGAUGGUCUCAUGUUUUGCUUUAAAUUCUUCUGGCGAUUUUUUAAAGGUCAGAGAACAUUGAUUUGCCAUCCUGGUGGCUGCGAUAAAUACGACCCAUUUACGGAAAACCUUGUUUCCCAGGGUGAAGAAGCUGGAGAGGAUUUUUUCGACUUUUCCUGGUCGGAUAUGCAUUCAAAAGUUUUAAGAGUAUACGCAAGUCAGGCCGACCAGAUUACGGAGAAUCUUGGCUAUAUUUUUCGAGAAGACUACAAGGCCGAGUUUGAUAUCGAUUUUUUAACUCGUAAUUCUUACAUCGCGCACUCACUAAACUGCACCGUGUACGAAGUUGACCAUGCAAGCCCUGAGGCGGAUGCCGAUUUGAAAUUUGACAUUGAUUUACAUAGGGUUGACAUUGGACUCAAUCAUGGAGGCAUUGACUACUCUCAGUUCGACUUUUCUGUGAGCUUCGAAUCUGGGGCUGUGGGCAUUGCAGUCCCACAUAGCGGUUUCAUGUCGCAAGGUUUGGUAAUUUUCAAAUGCUUCUCGCUUUGGGUUUGGGUAUUGAAUCUCAUCACAAUACUCCUGUACAUCUUGAUCCAGUCCAUUUUCCAGUAUUCACAAUACCAAGUCUUUCGUCAUUUCUACUCUGAAGCCGAGAUGGAUCUAUACAGAGGCACAUCUUCGAUAUUGAAUGUUUACGCAUACUUCGUCUGCGGUAGUCCGCCGUCAAUGCUACUUGGUCGUCUCUUCACGGGUAAAAUUUUAUUUUUCAUUUUCAGUUUCUCUGCACUGAUAAUCUCUACCGUCUUUUUGAGUGGCAUGACAACGUUGCUUAGUGAGAGGGUACUGGAAUUGGAAAUUGAUUCUUUAAAGAUGUUGGAAGAGUCAGAUGUUCUCAUUCAAACACACACUUUUUUCGAUUUAAAGGAUACUCAAACUUCUCUCGACCGGCAAGACAUAUCAGAGGCGUUGAAAGGGAGAUUGGUUGACAGUCUCGACUUUUAUACUGACACAGUGAUGAGCGAAGUUAUGAAUCCCGAACUGAUAUGGGAGAAUUAUAAUAGAUGGUAUGAGAAUAGGUCUUUAGUAAUUGGAAAUAUAAGUAGAAGUUGGGUAGAAAAAUUGGAGGAAGGUAUACGCUCAGUAGCAACAACGGAUGCAGUUUUGGUGCAUUUACCAAUUUCAUAUACGCCGAAAGAGAGCUUAUUCAUGCGGCAUUUCUUUAUGACGGAAGAGUUUGAAUAUCACCUGAUGGAAGAGUACAUCAUGACGUAUCCCUGGAUGAUUGCAUUCAAGAAGAAUUCAUUCGUAUUUGAUAGACUAAACAAAAUAAUUGCUCGGUAUCUGGAAACUGGGCACACCAGGAAAGCCUUGGAGAAAUUCAUCCCUAGUAAUUUGAGAUUUGAUGUAU
rnacentral:lncRNA from 1 species